rnacentral:rRNA from 1 species
GUGGGGAAUAUUGGACAAUGGGGGGAACCCUGAUCCAGCCAUGCCGCGUGUGUGAAGAAGGCCUUUUGGUUGUAAAGCACUUUAAGCGAGGAGGAGGCUACCGAGAUUAAUACUCUUGGAUAGUGGACGUUACUCGCAGAAUAAGCACCGGCUAACUCUGUGCCAGCAGCCGCGGUAAUACAGAGGGUGCAAGCGUUAAUCGGAUUUACUGGGCGUAAAGCGCGCGUAGGUGGCCAAUUAAGUCAAAUGUGAAAUCCCCGAGCUUAACUUGGGAAUUGCAUUCGAUACUGGUUGGCUAGAGUAUGGGAGAGGAUGGUAGAAUUCCAGGUGUAGCGGUGAAAUGCGUAGAGAUCUGGAGGAAUACCGAUGGCGAAGGCAGCCAUCUGGCCUAAUACUGACACUGAUGUGCGAAAGCAUGGGGAGCAAACAGGAUUAGAAACCCGUGUAGUCC